rfam:Mycobacterium mageritense, CIP 104973, WGS project CCBF01000000 data, contig: 000002
GGCGGUCUUCGGUAGUGGCUGCCGGGAACCCCGUACGGGACAUGUCCGGCCGCUUCGAUCGACGGCCGUA